rfam:Ictidomys tridecemlineatus contig039432, whole genome shotgun sequence.
GGGGGUGUGGGUCAGUGGUAGAGCGCUUGCCUAGCAUGCAUGAGGCACUGGGUUCAAUUCCCAACACCACAU